rnacentral:rRNA from 1 species
GACAGAGGGUGCAAACGUUGUUCGGAAUUACUGGGCAUAAAGGGCGCGUAGGCGGUACUUCAAGUCAGGCGUGAAAGCCCCGGGCUCAACCUGGGAACCGCGCUUGAGACUGGAGAACUAGAGUUCGGGAGAGGAUGGUGGAAUUCCCAGUGUAGAGGUGAAAUUCGUAGAUAUUGGGAAGAACACCGAUGGCGAAGGCAGCCAUCUGGACCGACACUGACGCUGAGGCGCGAAAGCGUGGGGAGCAAACAGG